GAGACUUGUGGGUCUGAGAUCAAUAAAACUCUCAACCAAUUUUUUUAAGGACCAGUACAAGGUUGGUAUGAGUAAUAUUUUUAGGAAAAUUAUUACUUUUGAAAAAAUCUCUUACCAUUUUAAGCACAUCUUGUUUUACCACUUUCCAGUAGUGUUGAUAAAAUAGACCUAAGAAACCAUCCGGCCCACUAGCACUACUAUCAUUAAAGCUGAAAACAACUUUUUUCACUUCUUCCAGGGUUGGUUCUGCACAUAAUUUCUUAUUUUUUUCAACUGUAACUGUAUCUGGGUUGCAAAUGGUUGUGUUCCUUUCUUCAUUAACAACAGUACAGGAGAAUAAUCAGAUGUUGUUCUUGGUUGGGUUGCUAUUUCUUGAAAAAAAAGGUUGGUUGCUAUUUUUCGACAAUCACUUGCCUCUUUCUCUUCAAAUUAGGUCAAAUAAAGGUUCAGGUGCUCAUUUCCAGCAGCGUGAGUGAUUUCGAGCAUCUCCAUCUACAUCCCGAUCGUUGGUGAGUCCCUCAUAGUUCGGAGGCUUGGUCAUUCAGUUUUUUAGCUUAUUAGUAUAAGAUGAUUCAGUAUUUUCAAACAGUUCGAGUCAGCUGGGGGUUUGUCCCAGUGACUCUCUAGCAUUAGAAGUAGAGACUUGUUAGACUGCUAGAUAGAUAUACUUCAGAUUUUCAGUAUUGAUUGAUCAGACUCUUGAGUUAGUAUUUUCAGAUAUUAUAUUCAGACAGUUUCAGCUUAGC